rnacentral:lncRNA from 1 species
UCCUUUGUUCUUUUUUUCAGUUUUCCUUUUCUUCUCCCUAAAUCCCCCAAAUGAACCCUAGCCACCACCGUUUAUAGUUGUUGGUCUACAGCUCCGAUCGGGCACCAUCAGAACACUCCCCUCCAUCACCUCUCUUCAAACCGCCGACUAAUCUCCUUCUUCACUUUCCUCCUCCUCCUCCUCCUCUUCUUCUUCUUCUUCUUCUUCUUCUUCUUCUUUUUCUCUCCUCCUAGUUCUGCAAAACGUAAAUUACCACAAAAUUUGAUUUAAUACUAAUAAACUCCAUGAAGUUCACUGGAAAUUGCCAUGGAACUCCAAUUUAUGCAGCUCAAAAGUCUAAUUUUUACUGCCAUUUUUAUAGUGCAGAGAGCUUUAAGGAAGAGAAAAGAAAGUUUAGCAACAUAAAUUAUUAAACGGGUUGUUCAUUUUUAAGUUUUCAAAAUGAACAGACCUUGAGAAAGUCAAUGAUUUUGAAUUUUCGGGGUUAUGGUUUUCCGUAUCAAAAGCUUAAUUCUUCAA